rnacentral:rRNA from 1 species
GUCCUAGCUGUAAACGAUGGAUACUUGCUGUGGGGGGUGUUAAAUCCCCCUGUGGCGGAGCUAACGCGUUAAGUAUCCCGCCUGGGGAGUACGGUCGCAAGUCUGAAACUCAAAGGAAUUGACGGGGGCCCGCACAAGCGGUGGAGCAUGUGGUUAAAUUCGACGCAACGCGAAGAACCUUACCUGGGCUUGAACUGGAGUGGAAGCAGGCAGAGACGUCUGUGUCCUUUUCGGGACUGCUCUAGAGGUGCUGCAUGGCUGUCGU